rnacentral:rRNA from 1 species
GGCCUAACACAUGCAAGUCGAGCGCAGUCCUUCGGGACCGAGCGGCGGACGGGUUAGUAACGCGUGGGAACGUACCCUUCUCUACGGAAUAGCCUCGGGAAACUGAGAGUAAUACCGUAUACGCCCUUUGGGGGAAAGAUUUAUCGGAGAAGGAUCGGCCCGCGUUAGAUUAGAUAGUUGGUGGGGUAAUGGCCUACCAAGUCUACGAUCUAUAGCUGGUUUUAGAGGAUGAUCAGCAACACUGGGACUGAGACACGGCCCAGACUCCUACGGGAGGCAGCAGUGGGGAAUCUUGGACAAUGGGCGCAAGCCUGAUCCAGCCAUGCCGCGUGUGUGAUGAAGGCCUUAGGGUCGUAAAGCACUUUCGCCAGAGAUGAUAAUGACAGUAUCUGGUAAAGAAACCCCGGCUAACUCCGUGCCAGCAGCCGCGGUAAUACGGAGGGGGUUAGCGUUGUUCGGAAUUACUGGGCGUAAAGCGCACGUAGGCGGACUAGUCAGUCAGAGGUGAAAUCCCAGGGCUCAACCCUGGAACUGCCUUUGAUACUGCUAGUCUUGAGUUCGAGAGAGGUGAGUGGAAUUCCGAGUGUAGAGGUGAAAUUCGUACCCCCCGUGCCCCCGCCCCGAAUCACUAGUGAAUUCGCGGCCGCCUGCACGUCGACCAUAUG